rnacentral:rRNA from 1 species
GUUGACCUCGGAUCAGGUAGGGAUACCCGCUGAACUUAAGCAUAUCAAUAAGCGGAGGAAAAUAAAGGAACAGGGAUUGCCCCAGUAACGGCG